UGCCGGAUAGCUCAUUCGGUUAAAGCACCGUUUUGCGGAACAGAAGGGUCCGGGUUCGAGCCCCGGACAGAGUAG